UUCUUCAUCUAUUUCAGCAUUGAUCUUGGAGGCCGGCCUCUUGCUCUCUUCUUGUACUUCUUCGAGCAAAUAACCCUCUACCUCUGGUCGUCGGAGUUGCUGGUCCCCUGUUCCAGUUACACGAGGAAAGGAAAUAUCACAGUUGUAGUAGAUAAACAGUGGGAAUUUUUCAGUAUCGCAUAUCCAAACCACAAAUGCUUUUUUGUCCUGUUUUUCUACAUUCUGCAGGACGUUUGUUUAGUUACCAUAGAACUCCCUAAUGUUGUCUUCCCUUUUUUGGGUGGACAUGGUAGUGGUUCCUUCCAGCUAAACAUGCCGACACAAUGUAAUCAGAGGAUGGAUUUCACGAGAACACAAGUAGUCACCAGAAUAUGCCUGUCAGGGAGUCUCGCCAGUGCCCCAGCGCACACACCGGCCAUCUCGCCGCACUGAACUGUUGCCGCCACCGACAGCGCGUUGUUACAAAAAAAUGUAUGGCCAGAUAACUAAACCAAAUAAAAUAUUUUAGAUGUGUCAUUAUCAGUACAAACGCAUAUGCCCUGCUCCCUUUUAUCUUCCACGCACAACAACAACAACAAGUACAUAUGCACACAUUAGACAAUGCUGAAAAUUCUGAAGAUAAGUACUUAGUAUAUAAUUAUGUGUGUUCUAGCAUCAAUCAUAACAUGGCUACCCGUACAUACAUUUUAUAAUUUAUCUAUUGCUGAGAAUGGCAGGAGAAGAAUGAAAUACAGCUUACUUAUAAAAACAAACCUCCAUUUCCAGACCUUAUCCUUAACCAAAUAUGCCAACAAUUUCUCAGUGCUAGCGUCUCCACAAAAGAUGUAAUUUCACACCGCUAAUACUACUUCUAUAACUGACUAAGAUAGUUACCAAUUUACACAAAGUCCCCAAGAGAGAGGGCAUCCUGAAGGGAGAGGUCGAAGCCUUCCUUGGGGCUUUGGCAACGUGGGCAGCACGAGAUUUAGAGCUUAGAUAAUGUGGGCAGUAGGGAUUGUAUCUCUUUACCCCCAUCCCCUCCUUUAAUAUUGUACGCACACUCGUGUGUAUUCAAGAAAAAAAAUUAACAACCAUGUGUGCAUUUGUAGUAUCACUCAGAGUUAGUGCAUGCCUGAAUCAGUAUGUACAUUUGCUAAAGCUCUAUAGGUGCAGAGACAAACAACAUAAGGAACAGAGCACCAUUUGUUAAAGCUCUAUAGAUGCAGAGACAAACAACAUAAGGAACAGAGCACCAUCAGUGAUCUAGCAGUACUCACGGCUGGCAAAUCCAAUAUAUUAAUUUCACACAUCCACCCAUCCUACAUUACUUUUCAAUUCAGCAAUUUCAAGCAUGCCAGACACAAGACAAAAAGUUUUUGUGAACACACCUCUUUGUCCACCAUGGCGCUUGUGGGUUCAUCUUGCCGGUGGACAGCUCAGGCAGCUAGAGCUAGGUCUCCCAUCUUCCAUCCAUGUCUGCAUGUUGCUUCCCCACAGAUCUGCGCGUCUGUGCUCACGGAUCACACCCACGGUUCUUCCGCUGCCCCUAGAGACGCC
rnacentral:lncRNA from 1 species